rnacentral:rRNA from 1 species
AUUGAACGCUGGCGGCAUGCCUUACACAUGCAAGUCGAACGGCAGCAUAGGAGCCUGCUCCUGAUGGCGAGUGGCGAACGGGUGAGUAAUAUAUCGGAACGUGCCCUAGAGUGGGGGAUAAAUAGUCGAAAGACUAGCUAAUACCGCAUACGAACUCAGGACGAAAGUGGGGGAUCGCCAGACCUCAUGCACACGGAGCGGGCGAUAUCUGAUUAGCUAGUUGGUUGGGUAAAAGCCUACCAAGGCAACGAUCAGUAGCUGGUCUGAGAGGACGACCAGCCACACUGGGACUGAGACACGGCCCAGACUCCUACGGGAGGCAGCAGUGGGGAAUUUUGGACAAUGGGGGCAACCCUGAUCCAGCAAUGCCGCGUGAGUGAAGAAGGCCUUCGGGUUGUAAAGCUCUUUUGUCAGGGAAGAAACGGUAGUAGCGAAUAACUACUACUAAUGACGGUACCUGAAGAAUAAGCACCGGCUAACUACGUGCCAGCAGCCGCCGUAA